ACCUGCGGCUUGUCAGGAGCAGAUUCCGCUGGCUUCUUAAGCAGUGCAGAGACAGACGGAAGAUGCCAGAGCCUUAAACCAGUCGUGUUUUGUGUUCUUGGAUGCACUUACCUGGCCUGGAGUUUUGAUGAGGAGUUGUUCAGUGGAAGUCCUUUGCUCAGAUGUUGCUCUGGCGUUCCCCCUCAAACUUCCUAGGAUGUACCUAGUUGGGGUGAGGUCCCCCCUCCCGGAUUCCACUGGCACCUUCAGCUUUCUGUACUCUGGUCAAUCCGUCUGUCCCUCCUACCUGUGGAGGUUGCUUCGGGUCUCUCGCCAGUUCAGAGUAGACACUAGUUCCCUCGGUGCUUACUCUUCCCUGCUCGUGUUUCUCCGACUAAGGUUAACCCCGCCCAGGCGUUCAGGCCUCGAUCCAGGCGUCUAGCAGUUCUGACUUGUUUGUGCACCUUGCUCCUUUAAUAAACAUCUUA